CACACCCGUUCCCAUACCGAACACGGAAGUUAAGCUUCUCAGCGCCGAUGGUAGUUGGGGGCUGUCCCCCUGUGAGAGUAGGACGCUGCCGGGC
rnacentral:rRNA from 2 species